CCCGUCGUCACGCGUGUGUGCAGGCGAGCAGGUGUCCGUACUUUCUAGAUAAAACAAGAUGGCCGACCCUGCGCCAGCAUCGGCCGAAUCUCCGCGGCUUAACAGCUAUGUAAGCAAGGAAGAGGCAGUGGCUGCGGAAAAGGAGGCGCUCGCAGCAGACGACGUCGUUGUCGCCACGGCGACGCGGCAGCAGAAGGACGUCGAUGGCGGAUAUGCAUGGAUUAUCCUCUUGUCGAUAUUUAUGCAGUUGUACUGCAUGAUGUACUCGAUGAAUUCGUUCCCGGUGCUGUUCGUCGAACUGCACGACUAUUUCGACGUGGGUCGCGGGGCGAUCGCGUGGAUCGGGUCUAUACAGACGGCCACCGUGUUCCUGAUCGGUCCUUUCAGUAACCUGGCAACACAACGCUUUGGAGUGAGGUGGUGCAUGAUAGUUUGUGGCAUCAUUGCAGCCCUCGGACAAGCAAUCUCGUUUUUUGCCACUGAUCAUUUUUUCUUAUACUUAUCAUAUGGAGUUGUGACAGGAAUCGGUCUAGGCGGAUCACACCUUCCGGCACUCUACUCGGUUGGCCUCUAUUUUGAAAAGCGUCGCUACGUCGUCACAGCGUUGGCGUUUGCAGGUGGCGCUGUCUCUGUAAUGAUUGCCGGGCCACUCACUAACUACUUGAUUGCUAAUGUCGGCUGGCGAGGAACGUGUCUGAUAAACGCAGGCUUCUGCCUGCAGAUUGUCAUCGCUGGCGCGCUGCAACGGCCGAAGCACAUAAAAAAUGUGAAGAACAGGGUGACUCUGCACAAAAUCUUCGCAAUGCAUCUCUUCAAGGACCCGAAGAUGUCGCUGUUCACGGCGAACACAUUCCUCUGGAGCCAGGGCCUGAUGAUUGUGCUCAUACUGAGCAUCGACUAUGUGGUGUCGAUGGGCGUGCCACGAUCUCAAGCUGCCUGGUUGACAACGACGAUGGGAAUCUGCACCUUUGUCGUGCGUUUGAUCAUCGCCUUUGUCGGACACGUGCCCACCGCCACCACGUGGAUGUUUAACAUAAGUUCAAUAGCUCACGGUGCCUGUGGAGUGUUACUGCUAGCAUGGAACAACAUCGUCUACUACCACAUCAUUAUAGGAAUAUUUGGUCUUUCCUACGGCAUCAAGAUUGCGAUAGUCGCAAUGCUUACGAUGGAUAUGUUUGGAUUGCACAAUUUUCUGGCAGUCUACUCGAUCCAGAUGUGUGCCAUCGGCUUCGGCAGCUUGCUCGGGAUUCCGUUAGCAGCAUGGGCGUACGACAUCAGUAACAGCUACAUAACAGGAUUCGUCAUUUCCGGGGUCCUGGUUCUGGUCGCUGUCAUACUCUUCUUCAUUGUCAUGUACCUGGAGCAUAAAGAACAUAAGAAGGGCAAAGACACUCUGGAAAACAAGGAAGUGGAAUGCACCACACCAGCCCUGCAAGAACCGUCAUCGGAACAGGCGCCGUCGAUCUAACAGAUGCUUGGCAGUGUCAGCGACCUUCUAAUCUUCUAUACUAUGUCCUUGUCAAGGCUCAAGGUCAGCUCUGUUACUGCCAUGUAAUACUUUCGGCGCAAGAUUGGUACUAUAGUAUCGGGUACGUUGCUGCAAUGCAAAAGGUUGUAGAGUGAAUCUUUUGUGAAACUUGUGAAUCUCAGAUAUCGAGAACCCACACACGUAUUUUAGCUGAUAUGCUAUGAGCAGAGUCAGUGGGUGUAUAGCUCUCAGAAAUAUGGAGUGAAUAAUAGGUGCAGCAAAAUAAUGGAAAUCUCAGAAACUGAUUUGCACUUACUCUACUUCAAGCACCAGUAUUGUUAUAUUUUUAUAUACUUUAUCGUACUAAGCCGACUUGACAAUCUGAUAGAUAACAUAAAGUCUGUAAUAUAUUUGAUAUUAUCAGGAGCGAAUAAAUACAAGCUUUAUUUUACUUCCGAUAUUAUACAUGCAUACAUACUCGAACAAAUGUAUAUAUAUAUUCUUUCAUAGGAUCUUUCUUAUUACUAACCAGUGUGAUUCAUAUAUAUACACACAUAUAUAUAUAUAUAUGGUUUAUUUUACUGAUAAAUUUAUAAUAUUCACUGGAGCGACACUUUCAACAGCUUAACUUGAGCUGUCACCAGGUGGCAGUAGCUAGGUGAAAUUUGUCUGGAGAAUCUAAUGUCUCGUGGAUAUCAGUGUUAGUAGUGGCGUGUCAUUGAACGCAUUUGGCAUAUGUGCUUCCUGAGAGGUUGUUAUCGUAAAUGUAAGAUAAUUUUACGAAUAGAUGCUCUCUGCUCAUGUUGGCAGGGCUAGCUUCCUCUUCGAUCUUUUUUUUCCAAAAAUAUUUGCCACAGCUGGUUCAGUGACAUAUGUGGUUAUUGGUGACCAUGCAGCCAUAUGCAGGCACCAACAACAGUUGGUUAGUUUCUUACCUAGCUACUGGCACUGCCACCUUGUGACAGCUCUGACCAAAAUAGCAAUGCAACUUAACCACUGCAACUAUGUCAGCUGUCACUCCAGGAAAUAUUUUUGAUAAUUAAACUUAUUUGAUUAAAAUAAGGUCUGGUAACAUUAUUCCAUGAUCUUUCUGAUUUGGAUUCACUAACCUAUUGUACGUGAUCAUGCUUGAUUUGUAUGUUACCCUAUGAUGUAACGUGUAAAUAUAUUUUUUUUUUAACUUGAGGAGCAGCAAGAGUUGUUGCAGCAUUAGCAUAGUA
rnacentral:misc_RNA from 1 species